rnacentral:snoRNA from 1 species
UUUCAUGAUGAAAAAGAGCGAUACGCUCGAUAACCCAGCUCGUCGAGGAGGGAGUAACGCCCCAUAUUCCUUUGAGAUAAUAUACAUAUCUGAUUAUAUCUUCUCUUCACAA